rnacentral:rRNA from 1 species
UGGGGAAUUUUGGACAAUGGGCGAAAGCCUGAUCCAGCAAUGCCGCGUGCGGGAAGAAGGCCUUCGGGUUGUAAACCGCUUUUGUCAGGGAAGAAAUCUUCUGAGUUAAUACCUCGGGAGGAUGACGGUACCUGAAGAAUAAGCACCGGCUAACUACGUGCCAGCAGCCGCGGUAAUACGUAGGGUGCAAGCGUUAAUCGGAAUUACUGGGCGUAAAGCGUGCGCAGGCGGUUUUGUAAGACAGAGGUGAAAUCCCCGGGCUCAACCUGGGAACUGCCUUUGUGACUGCAAGGCUUGAGUGCGGCAGAGGGGGGAUGGAAUUCCGCGUGUAGCAGUGAAAUGCGUAGAUAUGCGGAGGAACACCGAUGGCGAAGGCAAUUCCCCUGGGCCUGCACUGACGCUCAUGCACGAAAAGCGUGGGGAGCAAAACAGGAUUAGAUA